rnacentral:rRNA from 1 species
GGCGGCAUGCCUUACACAUGCAAGUCGAACGGUAACAGGUUAAGCUGACGAGUGGCGAACGGGUGAGUAAUAUAUCGGAACGUGCCCAGUAGUGGGGGAUAGCCCGGCGAAAGCCGGAUUAAUACCGCAUACGACCUACGGGUGAAAGGGGGGGAUCGCAAGACCUCUCGCUAUUGGAGCGGCCGAUAUCAGAUUAGCUAGUUGGUGGGGUAAAAGCUCACCAAGGCGACGAUCUGUAGCUGGUCUGAGAGGACGACCAGCCACACUGGGACUGAGACACGGCCCAGACUCCUACGGGAGGCAGCAGUGGGGAAUUUUGGACAAUGGACGAAAGUCUGAUCCAGCCGUGCCGCGUGCGGGAAGAAGGCCUUCGGGUUGUAAACCGCUUUUGUCAGGGAAGAAAUCCUUUGAAAUAAUACUUCGGAGGGAUGACGGUACCUGAAGAAUAAGCACCGGCUAACUACGUGCCAGCAGCCGCGGUAAUACGUAGGGUGCAAGCGUUAAUCGGAAUUACUGGGCGUAAAGCGUGCGCAGGCGGUUCUAUAAGACAGAUGUGAAAUCCCCGGGCUCAACCUGGGAACUGCAUUUGUGACUGUA